GUAGAAAUAGCAGAGCCUUUUGAUCUGUCUGCAAAUGGAACAAACCGUGUAGGGGAUUUAUGAAAUGGUUUAAUCCUACGUAGACAGAAAGAUAACAUCCUUCUGACAUCUAGAGUAUGGAGUGCAAUCUGCACACUGGACUUGGUGGUUUCUGAACAAAAACUACCAGCUGCACCGGAUAUUCCAGAACGAGCUGAAGUGGGGCAGACUGUGGGACAGUGUCUUGGAGUUCACACCAGUGACUAAAUCUUCUCCACUUCUAAAGCCACAGCACAGUCUACCAAGCGGUGCCUAUAGAUUUCCUCUCAGCAGAGGCAGAGUCCUAUCUGUGUGUGAGCCCAGUGAGACUUUCCACAAUCAAAGCAUCUACUACUGUCAAACUCCAAAGAAGCUGCCCCAUCAUAAAUGCAAAACCAACUGUGUACAACACUGAAAUGCUCGGCCUGUAUUCCCACCUUCCAGAGACAGAGACAUCUUUAUCAUACAAUUUUUGAGGCCCUGGAUUAGACAGCAAAUCUCAAAAUCCAAGGAACAAUCUGUGACAAACAAAACUGUCAGAGAUGUCUUCUGGAGGAUCACGGGCCAUUUCCUAUCCUUUUAAGGAACUGCACUUCUCAGCUCAUCUGCCAAUGAUAGAAUGGCCCUGGAGAAGCAGAGUAACUGAAGAGUAACAGUGACACUGAAGAGUUCCAGCCGCUAACAAUAUUCUUCUGUCCGAAAGUCCACCCACCUGACCUGAAUUGCAAUAGAGACACUGCCACAACCAAGAAAGGAGGAAAUGCUGCAUCUGAGCAGAGGACUCAGAACAAUGAAACUCAUUAAGCAUUGUUUUAAAA